rnacentral:misc_RNA from 1 species
GUAGGUGAACCUGCGGAAGGAUCAUUAUUGAAUAAACCUGGCGUGGUUGUAGCUGGUCCUCUCGGGGACAUGUGCUCGCCCGUCAUCUUUAUAUCUCCACCUGUGCACCCUUUGUAGACCUGGACGAUAACUUUCCGAGGCAACUCGGUCGGGAGGACUGCUGGCUUUCACGAGUCGGCUUUCCUUGUAUUAUCCAGGCCUAUGUCUUACACAUACCCCAAAGAAUGUAACAGAAUGUAUUGUAUAUGGCCCUAGUGCCUAUAAACUAUAUACAACUUUCAGCAACGGAUCUCUUGGCUCUC